rnacentral:rRNA from 1 species
GACGAACGCUGGCGGCGUGCCUAAUACAUGCAAGUUGAGCGCUGAAGGUUGGUACUUGUACCAACUGGAUGAGCAGCGAACGGGUGAGUAACGCGUGGGGAAUCUGCCUUUGAGCGGGGGACAACAUUUGGAAACGAAUGCUAAUACCGCAUAAAAACUUUAAACACAAGUUUUAAGUUUGAAAGAUGCAAUUGCAUCACUCAAAGAUGAUCCCGCGUUGUAUUAGCUAGUUGGUGAGGUAAAGGCUCACCAAGGCGAUGAUACAUAGCCGACCUGAGAGGGUGGUCGGCCACAUUGGGACUGAGACACGGCCCAAACUCCUACGGGAGGCAGCAGUAGGGAAUCUUCGGCAAUGGACGAAAGUCUGACCGAGCAACGCCGCGUGAGUUAAGAAGGUUUUCGGAUCGUAAAACUCUGUUGGUAGAGAAGAACGUUGGUGAGAGUGGAAAGCUCAUCAAGUGACGGUAACUACCCAGAAAGGGACGGCUAACUACGUG